GCAAGCCAGUAAAGAACAUCCCUCCGUGGCCUCUGCAUCAGCUCCUGCUCUCUGACCUGCUUGAGUUCCAGUCCUGACUUCCUUAGUGAUGAACAGCAGUGUGGAAGUAACACCAUCUGCAGAUCUUCCUGUGUUUUCCAUCCCCCUUCAUGAACAGCACAAGGACAGGAGGAAGACCACACCCAGCAGUGAUGCCUGAGUUCUUAUAUCCCAUCCUCCCUUUUUAGCAGCCCUGAGGAAGGGAAGCCUAGCACACUAGCCAGCUGCACCAUUGAUGCUCUACCUGACCUUAAUGCCCUGUGACCUUGAUGAAUUCUUCUGUAUUUUUCCAAGUUAACUUUAUCAAGAAGCAACCAGGAGCAGGGGAAAGCCACGCAUUUGGUUUAACCUAUUGGAGGUGCAGGGGAAAGUCUUUAAGUUUCCUUUAGAAUCCAUUUGGUACAUUAAAUAAAACAAUGUUCCAAAGCCAAGCUCCCAUCAUGGAGGUCUGGAAUUACCUCUGUAGUCUGAUUAGAGGAAAUGUAUUAGCUUUAUCAAAUUUCAGUAAGGGCACCCAAAAAGCAUACAUGAGUACAGUCACACCUUUUAAGGGGGAAAAAAAGACACCCGAGCUAGGUUACCAUGGUUGUAGUGGAAGAAAAUUACACAUGGAACAGGAAAAGGUGACCUGGGAUAUGUAGCAUGGAGGGGAAUUGUAAGCUACCCUUGAAUUUGAAGUUGUGGCAGUCCUCCUGCCUCAUCUUUCUAAAUGCUGUAUGUACCGUGGUCAGCUCACAGUAAUGAUUUUUGUGUUGAAUGUGUAUCUUGCAAUUUUGAUGGAACUGUCUAUUAUUUUUUUGUUAUUUCUUUAGAAUUUUUCACAUAUAAAAGAUAGUGUUGGACCAGGUGUGAUGGUCCAUGCUCUUUAAUUCUGUGAGUUUGAUGUUAGCCAGUGUUGCCUGGUGAAACUCCAUCUCAAAAAAUAUCAUGGUAAGCAAGGCAUAGUGGCACAGACCUUUAAUCCCAGCACUCAGAAGGCAGAGGAAAGGGGAUCUCUGUGAGUUCUAGGCCAGCCAGGGCUAUACAGUGAAACCCUGUCUCAAAACAAACAAACAAACAAAAAACCUAAACUAAUAUUGUCUGUAAAUAAAGAUUCUUUCUCUUG
rnacentral:lncRNA from 1 species